AAUGACGUAUGUGCUCCGAAGAGAAGAAGAAGAAGAAGAAGAAGCUGAAGCUGUUUCCAUGAGUCCGGCUCUGAAACACCUGCUGCUCUGUUGCUGCUUCUGUGGCGUCAGACUGAUGAAGUGACCGCUGCUGCACACACACCCUCCUCCUACUCAGACAUCACCACCAGUCAGCUGACACAGGUGGAGGAUGCUGCCCUGGACCCCUGACAGCGACAGCAAAAAAAGACCUGAAGAAGAAAAACAACAAGAGGAUGAAGAGGAGUCGGACAUGACCACAUCUAAGGACGACCCCGCCAGCCAAUCAGAUGCUGCGGUUAAGCCUCAGGACGGCAGCUCGGACUCUGGGGAGGAGGCGGCCGUGGUGCUGUCAAACAGGGAGGUGUUACCAUGGCAACAGAAGGAGGAAGAGCGCGACGAAGCAGAGACACAGGCGGUGGCUUCAUCGCCCGACGGACGAUUCCUCAAGUUCAACAUCGAGAUCGGACGAGGAUCCUUUAAGGCGGUCUACAAAGGACUCGACACCGAGACCACGGUGGAGGUGGCCUGGUGUGAGCUGCAGACUCACCGUCUGAACAAGGCUGAACGUCAGCGCUUCAACGAGGAGGUGGAGAUGCUGAAAGCUCUGCAGCAUCCCAACAUCGUCCGAUUCUACGACUCUUGGAAGUCGACGCUGAAAGGACACAAAUGCACCAUCCUGGUGACGGAGCUCAUGACGUCCGGGACCCUCAAGACGUACCUGCGCAGGUUCCGUCAGAUGAAACUGAAGCUGCUGCAGCGCUGGAGCCUCCAGAUCCUGAAGGGGCUUCACUUCCUGCACUCACGCUGCCCCCCGAUCAUUCACCGAGACCUCAAGUGUGACAACAUCUUCAUCACUGGGCCCACGGCCUCCGUCAAGAUCGGAGACCUGGGUCUCGCCACGCUCAAGAAGGCCUCGUUCGCUAAGAGUGUGAUUGGAACUCCAGAGUUCAUGGCUCCAGAGAUGUAUGAGGAGAAGUACGACGAGGCUGUGGACAUUUACGCCUUCGGCAUGUGCAUCCUGGAGAUGGCGACCUCCGAGUAUCCAUACUCUGAGUGUCAGAACGCUGCCCAGAUCUACCGCAAGGUCACAAGUGGAAUCAAACCAGAGAGUUUUUCCAAAGUGACCAUCCCGGAGCUGAGGGAGAUCAUUGAGGGCUGCAUCCGAACCAAGAGCAGCGAGAGGUUCACAGUUCAGGACCUGCUGGAUCACCGGUUCUUCCAGGAGAAGCUUGGCGUCCACGUGGAACUGGCAGAAGAAGACGACGGGUCGAAGACGUCGCUGAAACUCUGGCUGCGGAUGGAUGACAACAAGAAGCUUCGUGGCAAAUAUAAAGACCACAACGCCAUAGAGUUCGUGUUCGAGCUGUACAAGGACGUCCCCGAGGAGGUGGCUCAGGAGAUGGUGGUGCUGGGGUUCGUGUGCGAGGCAGACUAUAAGGUGAUUGCCAAGGCGAUCAGAUACCGGGUGACGGCCAUAAAGCGCCAGCGGGAGAAACGGCGCCACCUGGAGGAGGAAAAGCUCAAACACCAGAAAGAAGUGAUUGAAGAGGAGGUUGACCCCCAGUCACCUGAAACGUCCAUUCAGAAACCAGCCACAAACACAGCUGAUGGGAAGCAGGAUUCAGCCGCCACACCUGCCUUUAAAAAAGCCCCUAGCGUCACAAGUAUGACAUCGUUGGUUAUGUCGUCGAGCAGCAGUCUGGUGGAUUCUGGGAUCAGCGGCGUGUCCAGCAGGAUGGGAGGAGACGGCGACGAGGACGGCGAUAAAACUCUCAGACAUGCGUCGUGCUCGUCAGCUACCUCCGACUGUGAGACAGACUUCUCCUUCAGUUCCUGGGGUGUUGAAGCUCCGCCUCCUCCAGUCAAAAACCCUGCACCUCCACCAAUGGUCCAGGAAACCCCUCGACCUGAGGCUCCUCCCCCUGUGACCCGGCUCCCAUCCAAAGCCAAACCUCCGCCCCUCCCCGUGCUGCGUUUCCCAAAGAGCAUUGCUGUGUCCCACAGUGCCGAGCAAACAUCACAUGGAUCAGUCUGCGGCUUCUCCUCACCUGUGGACAGCUACGCCUCUGACGUGACCUCAGGUUUGAGUGAUGGCACUGACGGCCAAUCAGAGAAGAGCACUCAGGACAUCGCAAAAAGAGCGGCUGUGAAACAGUUCAGGAGGAGAGCGCGAGCUCGUCUGAGAAUCACAGGGGUGUCAGACAUGGUGGACCGAGUGGUGGAGUGUCAGCUGCAGACUCACGACGGUAAGAUGGUGACGUUUAAGUUCGACCUGGAUGGAGACAAUCCAGAAGACAUCGCAUCAGUGAUGCUCCACAGAGACUUCAUCCUGCCAUCAGAGCGGGAAGGAUUCAUAGUUCGCAUGUAUGAGAUCAUCAAGAGGGCGGAGUCAGUGAUGCAUCAUCGUCCACAGGCAGACUCUGAUAGGCUGUCCCGCCUGAACACCUCCACGCUGCCUGGAAGUGCGAUGAACCUGUCAGCAGGCGGCCUCUCCAGAACUCUGUCCUCCUCCUCAUUAACCGAUAUCGACAGCGUUGAACCCCCUCCUUUAAAAGGAGCCGACUUCUCCAUUGACCCUGAAGCCACGCCCCCUGUCAGAUCACUGAGGUCACAGUCUUUUCACACGUCUUCAGCUUCCUCAUAUCAGCCCCCCAUUUACCCCCUCAGUUACCCCCAUGUGGACUCCACUGCACCACACCCAUCUCCUGGUCCCCAGUAUCACCUCCCAACUCACCCCUACUACUCCUACACUGCUUCCCCCCCCACCCAGAGCCCCGCCCCCAGCCUCCACAGAGUCCAGAGUAACCCUUUGCUCCACACCCCCUCCUCUUCCUCAGCUCCUCUUUCUCAGUGGGCUUCACCUGAGCAGUCUCUCUUCUCUCUGGCCAACGUGCUCUCUCUGGCUAUGAGUGUAGCCCAGACCUUCAUGCCCCCACCUAGAGCCCCAAACCAGGGCUUUCAACCCCGCCCUCCAUUUACCACCCCCCAGGCCACACAGUCUCCUCCACUAUCUCCAUCCUUUGGACCCCAGCUCCACCAUCCAAGCCACACACCCUUUUCCCCUCCUUUCUUCCCCCCACCAGCCUAUCCCCCACCCGCACCACAGACGAACUCUGCCUCAGACAGCCAGCAGGUGGUGGCACCGCCCAGUCGGAUCCCAGACUCACCUCAGAUAGAGAAGGAGCAAGGACAGUCUCACACUCCAGUCCAGCAGAAGCUCAGCUCAGCUCCGCCCCUUCACGGUUCAGUGACUGCCUCUGCUCCCAGCUCGACCAGUGCUCCCAGUCACAGAGGAGAGCUCCGUCACUCGUCCCCUCCUCAGUCGACUCUGAACAAAAAACUCUCCCCGCCUGAUUCUCCUUCACCCAGACUGUCCCCCAUACACGAAGCAGAGAAACCUUCUGCUUUCAGCGUUGGUCGUUUCCAGGUCACGCCCUCUAAACAUGGUCAGGCUGCCCACCAGCAGGAGCAACGAGCCAUCAGUCAGGCCACGCCCACGGCUCACUCCCCGCCUCCUCCCAGGAAGAACCAAUCAGAGAGUGACACAGAAAGCAGCACAGAAAGCAGCGGAUCAGAGAGCAGCAUCAGCACGGUGACCCUCGCCCCAGUUAUUAACAAGAACGCCAACCCGGGAGGUCAGGAGGAGAGGAGGAGCAGAGAGGAGGAGGGCAGCCAGAAAAGGAGGGAGGAGGAGGAGGAGAGGAAGAGGAGAAGAGGCCGCAGGCUGAACGUCAGUCAGUGGGAGGGGACAGCCGGCAGCUUCAGCCAGUCUUGGAGUCGCUCUGCGACCUACAGCUCCGACGAGUCUGACAGCGAGAACGGAGAGAUGUGGGAGGAGCUACAGGAACUACGGGAAAGACACCUGAUGGAGGUGCAGAACCUGCAGGUCAGCCAGAAGCAAGAGAUCGAAGAGCUGUACCGGCAGAAGGGGAAAGUCCCGCCCCCUGGAAUCGUUCCUCCUGCAGCCAUGUUGAACAGCCGGCAGCGGCGCCUCUCCAUGUCUGGAAACAAUCCCUCCUCUCGCAGGCUGGAUAUGCUGCCCCCUGCAGGUAUCAUGAGGAGGACCUCAAUCAGCAGCAGCAGCAGUGGAUCUCAGGACAGAGCAGGGAAAGGCGUGACCUUUGCCCCCGAGCACAGCUGCAUGUAUUUUUCCGGAGGAUUCUUCCACAUGCUGAUUAGAUGACCCGCUCCACGUCCUGAGCCACAGACGCCACUGCAGCAAAACACUUCUGUACACACAGGAAGUUUUACUGCAGUGUUGUAGUAAAACUUGAGUGAGGAGCUGCUGAAGAUGAGAAGAUGAUCACGGUGAUGAUGAAGAGUAAUCCGCAGUGGAAUACUUUAAUGUCUCGUAGUUUGAAGUGAAUGUCUCAGCACUUUAGGAAGAAAAGCUGAACAUCAGAGGUCAGAGGUCAUCAGACAACGAGCUGCAGCCGUUCAGCUUUAAAGAGGAGACAGAAGAAGAAGAGGGUCAAAUAAUGAGCUGCACCGACAAACAUGAGAUUAUAGAAUCUGCUGAAAACCUUUAAAACUUUAUGAUUUUUGUUGUGAUGAGUGUGGAAACUUUUCUGACCUUCACUGCUGCUCGUGUAGUCGCAGGACACGAGCCCGAGCACGGUCUGUGUUUCUGGACGACCAUGUGCUUUAUUUAUCGUCAUGUACAGAUGAACCAGUGUGAGACGCCUUCUCCGAGAUUAAACACGUGGACACAUGAAGAGAUGAAAUCAUGAAUUUUAACAGUUUUGGUUUUUUGCUCCAAAGUUUGUAAAGUCCAGUUGUUCCUCCUCAUGUUUGUCUUAAAUAAAGUUCCUUGUCUGUUGA